GUGAAUUAGUGUCGAGGAGCAGGGGUAAGAGGUAGGUGGCAAGGGUUGUCCGGAGUUACUGGGCGUAAAGGGCGUGCAGUCGGUCGGUUAAGUGCAGGGUGAAAGCUCCCGGCUCAACUGGGAGAGGUCCUUGCAUACUGGCGGACUUGAGGGGGGUAGAGGAAAGUGGAAUUCCCGGUGUAGUGGUGAUAUGCGUAGAUAUCGGGAGGAACACCUGUGGCGAAGGCGGCUUUCUGGGCCCUACCUGACGCUGAGACGCGAAAGCGUGGGGAGCGAACCGGAUUAGAUACCCUAGUAGUC
rnacentral:rRNA from 1 species